ACGAACGCUGGCGGCGUGCCUAAUACAUGCAAGUAGAACGCUUAAGAGAGGAGCUUGCUCUUCUUGGAUGAGUUGCGAACGGGUGAGUAACGCGUAGGUAACCUGCCUUGUAGCGGGGGAUAACUAUUGGAAACGAUAGCUAAUACCGCAUAACAAUGGAUGACCCAUGUCAUUUAUUUGAAAGUGGCAAUUGCUCCACUACAAGAUGGACCUGCGUUGUAUUAGCUAGUAGGUGAGGUAAUGGCUCACCUAGGCGACGAUACAUAGCCGACCUGAGAGGGUGAUCGGCCACACUGGGACUGAGACACGGCCCAGACUCCUACGGGAGGCAGCAGUAGGGAAUCUUCGGCAAUGGGGGCAACCCUGACCGAGCAACGCCGCGUGAGUGAAGAAGGUUUUCGGAUCGUAAAGCUCUGUUGUAAGUCAAGAACGGGUGUGAGAGUGGAAAGUUCACACUGUGACGGUAGCUUACCAGAAAGGGACGGCUAACUACGUG
rnacentral:rRNA from 1 species